rnacentral:rRNA from 1 species
GAUGAACGCUAGCGGCAGGCUUAAUACAUGCAAGUCGUGGGGCAGCAUGAGUAGCAAUACUUGAUGGCGACCGGCAAACGGGUGAGGAACACGUACACAACCUUCCUUCAAGCGGGGAAUAGCCCAGAGAAAUUUGGGAUUAAUACCCCCAUAAUAUAUUUGAUAAGGCAUCUUAUUAAUAUUAAAGCUUCGGCACUUGAUGAUGGGUGUGCGACUGAUUAGAUAGUUGGCGGGGUAACGGCCCACCAAGUCUACGAUCAGUAGCUGAUGUGAGAGCAUGAUCAGCCACACGGGCACUGAGACACGGGCCCCGACUCCUACGGGAGGCAGCAGUAAGGAAUAUUGGACAAUGGACGAAAGUCUGAUCCAGCCAUGCCGCGUGAAGGAUUAAGGUCCUCUGGAUUGUAAACUUCUUUUAUAUGGGACGAAAAAGGGC